GGAAGUGGUAGCUCAGCGGUUACGAUGUUGGACUACUGAUUGGAAAGUCCUGAGUUCAAAUCCCAGCGCUGCCA